AUAGAAAUGCAUCACUGGUACGGUUACGAAACCGACUCCUCUUGUAGGUUACUUAGACUCUUCGUACUCUACUCUUACUCAAAACGUCCUCGACGUACGUAACGGUAACAGGUCACUCGACUUAUCUGAGCUUGGAUAAAUAUGGAAACCUAAACCCUUGGGAAGAUGGAUGAUACGACUGAUUUGAGAGGG
rnacentral:ribozyme from 1 species